CAACACCAGAUCCUUAACCCACCGAGCAAGGCCAGGGAUGGAACCUGCGUCCUCGUGGAUACUAGUCGGGUUCGUUAACUGCUGAGCUACAACAGGAACUCCAAGUCUUUCUCCCUAUAGCCUCCUUUACUUCCUCCCCUUGAAAAGCCUCCUCCCAUCAAUCCAGCAGCGUGUACGGCACGGGUUCAUCCUGGUUUGAGUUGGCAGCCUGUGCCCAUCUCUUUCAAACCCUGAGUUCAGGGAUAUCAUAGGGGUGGCUUAAAAUCAGCCGUGGCGGAAGUACUUCACACCACGGGUAUUGGCCAGCAGACUGCAGAGCGCGGCUUUUCUCCCAGGUGUUAAAGCUUUGCUACCGCACCAGUGUAUAGCUUCCAAGUAAGAGGAGAUACAGGGGACCAAGAAACAAGCUAAAUGCCAUUACAAGGAAGCCACCUGAUACAUCUGGAAGGUGGGACAUUUUGCAGAACAACUGUCCUGCUGUCUUUUUUAAAAAGCAAUUAAUUAAUUUUGUAUUAAAGUACAGUUGAUUUACAAUGUUGUGCCCAUUUCUGCUGUACAGCUGUCCUUUUGUCUUGAAUACAGUAGGAUCCAUUUAGAAAGGACCUGGCUAGGAGUUCCUGUUGUGGCGAAGCAGAAACGAAUCCGACUGGUUCUGGGUUUGAUCCCUGGCCUCCCUCAGUUGGAUUAAGGAUCUGGCAUUGCUGUGAGCUGUGGUGUAGGUCACAGAUGUGGUUCGGAUCCUGCGUUGCUGUGGCUGUGGCGUAGGUGGAAGACUCGGCUUGGAUCUGGCGUUGCGGUGGCUGUGGUGUAGGCUGGCGGCUGCAGCUCUGAUUCCACCCCCAGGCUGGGAACCUGCAUAGGCCUUGGGCGCGGCCCUAAAAAGACUAAAUAAAUAAAUAAAUAAAUAACAGCAUAUUCUCUGACGGGUGGCACAAAAGGCAGGGGGGAGAAGCCAGAGAUUUGAAGCCUGAGAGGGGUUAGAUGUGCUCUUCCUGGUUCGGAGACAUAUAGGAACCAGAGAACAGCCCAGGAGGAAACGGGGACCUCAGUCCUACAGCCACAAAGACCUGGAUUCUUAUAAUCAGCCAAGCGCGCUUGGAGGUGGAUUCUCCCGCAGCCCCUCCAGAUGAAAGCCCAGCCUGGCGGACACCUUGACUCUGGCUUGGGGAGAACCCAGAGCAGAGAACCAAGCCUUCCCAGACUUCUGACUGCGGGAGUGCUGCGUAAAAAAUGGGUGGUGUUUUAAGCUGCUAAAUUUGUGGUAAAUUGCUGCCCAGCAGUAGAAAACCCAGACAGAUGUGCGCUCAGGUGUGAACGGUGGUGCUGGAGUUCCCGUUGUGGCGCAGUGGUUAAUGAAUCUGACUGGGAACCAUGAGGUUUCGGGUUGGAUCCCUGCCCUUGCUCAGUAGGUUAAGGAUCUGGUGUUGCCGUGAGCUGUGGUGUAGGUCACAGAUGUGGCUUGGAUCCCGCGUUGCUGUGGCUGUGGUGUAGACUGGUGGCUACCACUCCGAUUGGACCCCUAGCCUGGGAACCUCCAUAUGCCGCAGGAGCGGCCCUAGAAAA
rnacentral:lncRNA from 9 species